rnacentral:rRNA from 1 species
GAGUUUGAUCAUGGCUCAGAUUGAACGCUGGCGGCAUGCCUUACACAUGCAAGUCGAACGGCAGCACGGGAGCUUGCUCCUGGUGGCGAGUGGCGAACGGGUGAGUAAUGCAUCGGAACGUAUCCUGGAGUGGGGGAUAACGUAGCGAAAGUUACGCUAAUACCGCAUAUUCUGUGAGCAGGAAAGCGGGGGACCUUCGGGCCUCGCGCUCUUGGAGCGGCCGAUGUCGGAUUAGCUAGUUGGUGAGGUAAAGGCUCGCCAAGGCGACGAUCCGUAGCAGGUCUGAGAGGAUGAUCUGCCACACUGGAACUGAGACACGGUCCAGACUCCUACGGGAGGCAGCAGUGGGAAUUUUGGACAAUGGGGGCAACCCUGAUCCAGCCAUGCCGCGUGAGUGAAGAAGGCCUCGGUU